UUCAUUACACUGUACACAAAGUGACCCGGCGGUACCCGGGAUCUUGCCGUUACCGCGGCUGUGCGAGGGAGAACCGAAACGUUUCACGCCGCCGCGGAGCCCGGGAGCCCGGCGAAGCGCAGCGAGGGGCCCAGUUUUCGGGCCAGGAGCAAACCCGCAGGAAAUCCUGGGCCCCGCAGCAAACGGCCCUCUGUGUCAGCCUGGUUAUCAGCGGGUUUAGCGUCCCUCACUCAAGCUGGGCGUCCUCGAAUAGUAUUUCCUUGUUGAAGUUUAAGAUUUGGGGUUGGGGAGGAGAGCCUAAGCUUCUGUUGUGGCAUCUUUUCUUUUCAUGGCCGUAAGUAUUUCCAGAUGGGGAUUUAGAGACCAGACGUAACAAUAUUUCCAUAUUUGGUAUAGCAGUAGCCUGCAUUUUUCACAUUUUUCUGCUCUGUUAUCCAACCACAAAGCAUUCUUGACAGCUUCAGAUGUUGUUAAAUAUAGCCUUAACUUCUGUUCCCAGGGCAGGAAAUUCUUUGGAAUUCCUGUUUUUCACGCAAUCUGUCUAUCAUGAUUUAGGAGAAUUGCGCUGGAGGAGCCAACUGGCGUUAUACUGCAGUUUGCUCCUUUAUUGAAAAAAGCCCAGCAGUUGAGUCUGCUACCCAACGGCGUUACAUUAAGUCUCCAUUCCAGGGAUUUUUCUUUGCAAAUGAGAUUAUUGUUCCUAACACAAGUUUGGGUGGUUUGGGGGUUUUUUUCGGUUGCCUUCAAGGCUGGAAGGUGGAGGAGCAGAUUCAGAGGAGAGGCGAAACUUUGGGAAAAAAAAAAACAAAAAACAAAACAAAACAAAAACCCCAAAACCAAAAAAAAAAACCCCAACCCUCCAAAGCCCCCGAAAAGCGGAGGGGGGGAGGGGGCGAGGGAGACAGUGGAGAGGGAGGGGAUGCGAAGAGGAGGGGAUGUGAUUAACCUGUCUGCGUAGCAUUUCCAUACAGUAAGUGUCUGUGUGCGCCGCUCGUAAAGGAUGGGCAUUUAGGGAGGGGAGGCAGCAGCAGCCCCGCUGCUCGGAGGAGCGAAGCCCAGACGUCUCGUCGCCUGCCCGGUGCCGCAGCCGAAAGGGUCACAGCAAGGACCGUUUCAGGGGACCGAGCGGGGACUGUGCACAUGGCUCCGGCCUGUGUCUCUCCAGGGAAAGGACUUUCCAGUGAAACAAAUCAAGAAAAAAAUAACGGAAUGGUUUAUCUUCCCUCUGCCCAGCGUCAGUUUUUCGUGGCCGUGCGUGGGGCCGCCGAGCAGCGUACAGCGCUGUGUAGGACGGAGGCUCCUCCGGGUGCCGGUGCUCCCGCUGACAGUGCGCUGUGUUUUCCUCUGGCUGCUGUCAAGGUGUCGCAGAGGUUCCCGUUGUGUGGAAGUGGAAGGGGGACCUGUGAGCCUUCUGACUCUGCAGGGAAACAGAGAAGGAAAAUUUGAUGUAGUAUUCGGUUUUGCUCAUCGCUGCUUCAGCGUGUGAACUGCGCUGCUAUACGAAUAUACCUCACGCGGAUAUAAGGGACGUCACAGCAUGAGAGAGGCAAGAAGCAUCCCUGCUGAUGGUCGGUGUAUUCCUGUUGAACCGCUGACCAGCAGGACGUACCGCACGGCUUCCCCACCCCAAGCGGGAUGCAGAAAUGUAAAGCAGUUACAGCCAGCUCCGGCUUAGCUCCUCCUGCCCAGGCAGAGACUCAAAAUACCUUUGCCACUGUCAUUCAAGCAUCUGGCACCAACUUUAUUUCAGUACCAGCCACUGCUGUUUCCUAAGUGAGACAGGUGGAUUACUUAAUAUAUAUUCACCUACUCCCAUGUGUGUGUACUUCAACAGUAGGCUACGUUCAGAAGAUGCAAUUUGCAUUGGGUGCACCCCUAUAGCUGAAGUUUGCAAUGAAAAGACUAUUAUGGGCUUUGGCUCUCCAUGCCACAAAAAAAAAAUAAUCUGGUGGUCCUAGCUAGCACCUGGCAGCACAUGGAUUUCUUAGUCAUGUCUAUUGUUUUCAUCCCAUGCAGUGAUUCCACUUGCAAAUGAUAGCAAUAUAGCCUGACAUCUCUUUAUGUAUUCUAGAAAAAAAAAAAAUCACAGCUGUAUCUCCUGAGUUUUGUGAAGGAGGCUGAGGCACAGGUGCUUUCCCAGCAUCAGCUGAGAUGAAGGUCCCGGACAGGGGUCCCACCCCAGAGAGUUAAUCAUCCUAAAUGACCUCAGUAGAAACAACUUCUUAACUUUAAACUUUGGUCCUUAGAGUGCAGUUUCCCAGUGGAGCAAUGCAAGCGAACUAACAUCUGUUAAGACAAAAUGAGCAAGCUCAAAAGAAGAUUACUCAUGAUCGCAAGGAGUUACUGGCACUAGCUGAACCUGAUUGCAAUCAAUCGGGUUGUGCCCCAGAAAUCCUUAAUCAAAGCACGCUUCCAGGCUGUGGUCUGUAAUGACUGUCAGCUGCUGUCUGCCUCAGUCCACAGCUUAACUGCACCUUGGAGACAACUGCCUCCUGCUUUUACCUGUGUUGUGGGACUGCGUGCCCCAGCAUAUGCUGUCUUCGGGAUGUUCAGGUUUGCUUACUUGCUUACUUGCUUGUUUUCCUUUUCUACAUUUGAAAUACAUGGCAAACUCUUCUUUCCCCAAAGGUGUUUUGUUUCAUUAGAGUUAGUAAUUGCAGCUAGAUUUCCUGAAGGCUAGUGUGUGUCAAAGCUAGGGGAACCCUCUGUGUUCCUUCUGAUGCUUUCCCUCCUUCCCUGCUGUUCCUGACCUGAUAGAACAGUUUCUUGUCCCUGAUACAUGGACAUUCAAAGGACUUGCCUAGCCUUUGAUUUAAGAACAUGUUUUUGUAGCUAUUUUCUUGGAAAAAAAAAAAAAGAGUAUUGAUUAAUUUUUUUUUUCUUUGCAUGCAAAUAGAAGGGGAAGCCUGAUCCGGCAGGAUGCUGAGCAUGCUCUGCCACACAGUGAAUUCUGUCACUUACUGUGCUUUCCAGGCCAGCUGCUGGAAAUGUCACAGGAUUAAUUUCAGAAUCCCCUGAGGUGCCUGCUGGCUUUGUCCAGAAUCAUUACUCAUUCUCUGCUAUGCACAGAAGCUUAUUAAAACACAGUGAGACCUUAGUUGUAUUUGCUGCAUUACUGUUUAUUUCCAUUCUGUUCGAUCUGGGCUCUUGCCCUUUGCCUACCAAUACGUUACGUGAGCACCUUGCAGUGGCAGCUGGCUGCGUUCUGUUCUUCCAUCAUGCAUGCUUAGUUUAUGACACACAUGAGCUAACUGGUGCGAGGAAGCCAGCCACAACCUGCUCCAGGACUACCCUCCUGCUGGAGAUCAGUUACGUGCACUGUUCUCUGGCUUGUGCCCCUCACUUCUAGUCCGUGAUAGCACAGUGAAAAAAUCAAUAGCAGACAAAUAAGUAGACACGAUGUCAUCCUUGCAGAUAGGGAGGACUUGCAGGCAGCCAAGAGAUCAUGUAUGUGCUUUAAGAAUGUUUGUGGAGACAGAGUUACGGUCCAAGAAUGUGCAAAUAGCUGCCCAUCCCAGUGUUACAUGCCUGCGAUUAGGGAGAAGUGCUAAACCAUCUCUAGACUUGAUUAGCAUCCAAAUCUGAAAGAUGUGUCUUGCGCUGUGGAGCUGGUUGGGAUGAUCUUUCUAGGGGAGUGGAGAAGAAACUAUGUGAAUGGAAUCUCUUCCUCACCUUAUCUCUGCUGGAGGCUAAAAUAAAACUGGAGGGAACUGGCUGGCGAAAGCUGGUGGGCUGCUCUGCGAAAGGGUCCUCGCGUGGUCUCCAUCCAGGAGCGAGGAGCCUGGUGGGUUGCGUGGAUCCACGGAGAGAAGGACAUCUCUGAGUCAGCCAGGAAGCCUGUCUGCUGCCCGCUGUUUUCCCAGGGACCGAUGUCCUCAGGAAGUAAGAGGUCACAGGGGCUAUCAGCAGACUACUCUGGCGCGGAGACUUUUUUACGAUUGCAUUAACGUAUCUUUUCCUGUUGUUGUACAGAAAUUAUGACUCCUAGUGUCAGUGUUGAGAUGAAAGCAGAAGCUCUUUUGCAUGGAGCAAACAUUAAAAGCUAGCUGUUAUGUUAAUCGGAAAAGAAAAUUAGUGCUGGCUGGUGGCUAUUUACUUUCAGAUAAGUUUGCAUUUGCGGUGGUGUUCUUCUCACUCUCUGCACUCGUCUGUAUCGUUUUGUACACAACCAGCUACGUAUCCGUCGCUGUCCUCUCUCACUGCCUGACCUGGGGUCUGCUUCUGAAACUCCCCAUGAGCUCAACUUUUAGACUUACGGGAUAAUUUGGGAUCAGAGCAGAAAAACGGGAGAUAGGAGGGGUCUUUCAGGUGAGCGGUGUGUGAUAACACGAUAAUGUUUGUAGCCGGUUGUGAGGGGAGAGCCUCUGGUUUCCAGGAGUGGGCUUUUUCAGGAGGUAUCCAUGCAGUGUUUAACAGCGCCAUGUCAAAAUAAAAAUCAUUGAUUAAAAGUGCGCCUUACUUGUGCUGCUAAAAACACUUCUAGAUUAUACACACUGAAAACAGUAAAUAUUUAAUGUACAGGUUUACUUUUCCUGGUUUAUAGAGAGCUCAGCGGGCCUGACAGAGCAGCUAGACAGAUGUGUUUAUAGCGAGCUCCCCGGGCGGGCACAAUGCUGCAGUGUUUGGCCUGCGAGCACCACAGGGGCAUGCGUAAAAAAAUAAAACUGUUCCAUUUACAUUGGGGGAAAAAAAUCUUGAGAAUGUUUCUAUUAAUACUAGCUGGUGUAAAACCCCAAAUUCUACAUUUCAGGCCUUAACAUAUUUCAAAAAUAGAGGGCUAGAUGGUGGUUGGUGACGAUGUGGGGUAAGAAGCGUUUCCUCGCUUACAUGGCCCGUGAAAGGGACGGUCAAGGUGGCAGCUCUUCUUGCAGAAGAAGAGGGUUGUUGCUGAAACGCCCCUGAUGAAGGUCAGGUGUGAAAUGAAGAGUUCAGGAGUGGGCAGAGCGGGGCAGCAAAGCCGGUGCACGGGGAAGCGUGGGUGGGCGCGCAGGCCAGCGUGCAGUGCACGUGGUUUUCCGUGGACUGGGAGCUGGGGCUCAGGACCGUGGCUGAGAGCCUGGACGCUAUCGGCAGGCGUGUUCCUAAAAGGUGAGAGGGACGAGAUGCUGUGGGGAAAGCAAAGUGUGCAGAGCCCUCCCCGCGUGAUGGGAUGGACACAUCUCCCACACCUGCGAGAUGCUGACUGGGAUGGUGGGAAAUCCACUUCCACAUUCGGGGGAUUUUUUUUACACAUUAGCUUUGAUCUUGGCUGAGGUCUUAUCUGAGUGCUAGCUUCUGAUCUGGAUUAUACUGAUGUUAAAGCUGACUUAUCUGGUCAAAAUUAAUGGCAUUAAUUGAUUAACACACAUCAAUUAACUGAAACUACUGACAUUUGAGUUUCUGGAGAGCUCCCAAGGAAUGAGUGGCUGCAUCUGCCUCUCUCUGAUUUCCUCAGAAGUUAUCCUCAGCUCGGAAGUGAGUUUAUUUAGCUAAUCUGAUUAAACACCUGGCAGCUUUUUAACUCUUGAAGAAAAAAGCUUAACUUCUAAAAAGGGAUUCUUCGGCUGACUAACUUCUCAGGAAAGUAUUUUGUUGAAGAAAAGUAGAGUUAGGAAGUAGCAGUCAGUAUUAGGGCUAGCUAAGCACUCUAUGAUUAAAUACAGCCUUAUCUAUAAUUUAAUAGUCAUCUCUGUGUCUGAAUAGACCUAGGAGUCCUGGUGCAGUUGUUUUGCUUUCCCACCAGUUACACCUGCAGAGGGACAUCUUUCCCCAGCUGCAGGAGACCUGCCGUCCUGGUGACACAAGGGGAUGGGGCCAUGCCAUGGGUACCUGCUCAGUGCUGGGCAGCAGCAUCCUGGUAAAAGCAGCUCAGCACCUCCUUACUGGGGCUUUCCAGCACAGGGGUGCUGGGCUGCCUUUGCCUUCGAGCCCUGGCUGCAGCUUCCUUGUCUGCAAGCUCCUUUUCUGACAAGUACUGUGCGUGGACCACCCCAUUGCACCUGGGAGCAUCACGAGAGAAGGGAGCUCCUGUGCCGAGCGCGGGUAUCACUGCAGCAGCAUUAGGGGCCAUUGCACACCCGGGAGAAGUGGCAGAAUAAUGCAAUUCUUUCUUUGAACUACAGGCCGUGUUUCAACAUGGCCCGCUCACACCUCUUUACUGGGCAUUCGUUGUGAGCACCGAUCCAAGCGAACCCAGCCAUCUUAGACCCAGACUGAGAUUCAUUGAUUCCAGCAGCAGCGCUGGCCCGAAGCACCCCGCUCUGCCGUGGCUGCUCCCUGGCGCCCCGUUCCCCUGCAUUUAUGGCCUCCUUUUUGCUGUUAGUGGCAUACGGGUCGGCAGUAAAACAAAGACUCCAGCCCAGGUCUCCCAGGGGUAGCAAGCCAGCACAUUAACCCACUGCGAGACCUGGCAAGGACUUGUGACUCUCUCUCUGGAUUUUAUGGCAGGAUAGCAUUGCCCGAGUAUCGCGCGUUCAGGAGGCUACACAGUUGAUGCACAGUCAGCUCCUGAAGGGCAGCUGGCGCGAUGACAGUAGGCUGAAAAAAUGAAUGAAUGGUCGGCUUCAGUCUGGAUGUCACCAUCAUUUUAAUGCUAAUGGACUUUUUCCUCAGCCAGCCUCCCGUCUGAAUGGGGAGCACAGAAACAUCCCAAUAUUUAUGGGAUUUUAACUAGAUUAGUUACAAACCUAUAAAGCAAAGAAAGAGACAGUUCAUCCAGUACUGGGGAGGGGAGUGUUAAAAAUGCCACCUCAGAUAAAAUAUUAUGGGAGUUGAGUAACUGUAAAUAAGAACCUUGCCUAUGAAAUAGCUUCUUAUGUGAGCUUGGGAUGAGGGCCAAGAGAACGUCUAGGUCUUGGGGAAAUUUAUUAGCCCAGAUCAACAGGAUUUCUGGGACUCAGGAGAUGGGGUGGCAAAGAAUUUGCCUGUUGGAGUCUGCACUUCCUCCAUUCAUGCCUGCAGCAGGAGUUUCACUUAUAAAACUUUCAAGAUGGUUCAUUUGAAUUUUUUGAAUUUUCUUGGUUCUCGUUAGCAGCUGCAGUUCUGUCCUGGGACUUGGGAGAGCUGGGUUCAAGCUCUGGGUUUCCACAGCCUGCCAGUGUGGUCUUGGACAAAUCGUUCAUCUCCCUGUGCUUCAAUGCCCCUCUGUAGAGAGGAGAUAAACGUUAUUUCCUGACUCGCGGGGGUGUCAGGAGGGUGCGCUAAGGACUAGGAGGCAUUCAGGUACCUGAAGCAUGAGUGAGGUGCUUACAAAUGACAGGAGCAUGGGCAGAGCAGCUACAAUGCACAAGUGGACCCCUCGCAGGGGGAGGGAUGGCAUUCUGGUGGGCAGUGAUGGGUCUUCCCUUUGAUCCCAGUCAUUUUAGUCACCACCAUCAUUCUUCUUCCUCAUCUUCUUCAUACAGCUUUAUUUUAUAGCCUCUGCCAGUGCAAGCUGGCCGGCCUGAUAGGGUCGUUGGUGUCCUGAUAUUAGGGUCUCUUGGCUAUACAUUCACUUUAAAAAAGGGUACUUGCACAACUUGGGACCCCCCUGCCUUUUGUCCCCCCCCAUUUUUCAUCUCUCUCAUUCCCAUUCGCACCCUUCUGGUAUUCCUUCUGCUACUCCUUACCUGUAUUCAGCUUUCUGUCUGGGGAGUUCUAGCACGUGUCUCCCCUUCUGCCUUCACUUCGGUAUUCCUUCCUCCACCUCCCACAUUUUGUCCAUGUUUUAUUUUUCUUAUCUUGUUUUUGGAACCCAUCCUUAGCCUCUCCUAUGUAUUUCCCUUUCCCUCCCUCUAGUUCCAAGAGCUUUUCAGUAAACAGCAUCCCUCUCCUAUUCUGACUCAUUGCCCACUGACAGUGGAAAGAUUUCAUCAUGAAAGCGAUGCAAAGAUCACCCAGUUUAGAGCGCGGGGUAGGUUAGGAUGACCUCGCUCUGCCUGUCAAGUGAAGAGCCACAAGGUCUGAUUCCUCAGCCGACGUUUAUUUGCCAAUUUAUCUCACGUUCAGUUGUUCUUCAUUCCAGUAUACAUCAGUCGUCUCUCCUGUGUGCACCACUGAGCGGCCUGGCUCUGCCUUCUGGAUAACCACCCCGGAGGUGCCGGGGCUGCUCUUGCCCCCCGCCGGAUCCUUCCCUUCUCCAGGGCGACCAAGCAGGUCGAUGGCUGUCUUCGCUGCCGGCUCGUGCCCGGUGCGCGCGCAGGAAGCCUGUGACUUCAUCGCUUUUCACCCCUAUUGCAGCCACCGAACGCGGAGGGAGGAUCAUUGGUUUCCUUUAACGGGCACCAUGAUGGUGCGCUCAAAGCUGCGCCGUGCUCCUGCCGCUGCCUGCGACAGCAAACUCUGUGGUCACUAGAAUGUGAUUGCCUUUCGGUCUUUUUUAAAAAUCGUAUAGCUUUUGGGCAUGUGAUGCCUCCAACAUUACAACUAGAGCUGGGUAGCCUCUCAUAUUUGCCUUUGAUUUGUUCCAUUUGCUCUGUCGUGUGUCUUCCCAGAGAAACAUCCACCUUUACUGCUCUCGCAUAAGAUACGUGUGAAGUGGGGUUUAUCGCGGCAGCAGCCGAUCUGUGGCACUGAACCCAUGCAGGUCAGCAAAGCUCAGAGGUAUUCCUUGCUGGUGCUACAUACGUGGUCUCACUGAGGGUAAACACACAUGAAAAUAGACCCACUUUUAAUGUGGGAAAUGCAACCGGAGGGGUUUACCUGCGUUUUUCCAUUUAGCCCUGUGUCGCUGUGCUGGGUGACCUGCGUGGUGGUCGGGAUGCUCGCUGAUCCCGUGCCCGCAGCGGGACGUGGGAGAGCAGGGGCUGUGCUGCUGGGCUUGCCGGGGACACGGCGGGGGAGCCCGAGAGGGCAACUGGGAGCCCGUGUCCUGGCUUCCUCCCUCGCUGCCCUCGGCUCCCAGAGGUGUGCGGCACAUGCCCAGUGCCUCUUGGCCUCGAGAAAGUUUUGGAUUGUGGCCGGAAGACUCAAGACUCCGUGCUGACCCGGCUUUGUAGUAUAAUGUUUUUGUAACACUGUUAUGCUGGUUU